GGAUGACGUCAAAUCAGCACGGCCCUUACGUCCGGGGCUACACACGUGUUACAAUGGGGGGUACAGAAGGCAGCUAGCGGGUGACCGUAUGCUAAUCCCAAAAGCCUCUCUCAGUUCGGAUCGAAGUCUGCAACCCGACUUCGUGAAGCUGGAUUCGCUAGUAAUCGCGCAUCAGCCACGGCGCGGUGAAUACGUUCCCGGGCCUUG
rnacentral:rRNA from 1 species